rnacentral:misc_RNA from 1 species
UUCAAACUGGUCUUCAUCCAUAACCGUAUCUACAGAAUUAUACUCUUGGGAAACUACAUUAUUAUUUCCUAUCUCCAUAUGGCUUCCACCAGCGAAAUUUACAUUUUCUUGAUGAGACAUUCCUAUAAUGUCUUCUACAACACUAACUAUUCCAGUAUUUCCUGGAUCCUUCCCAGAAGUUUCUCUGGUCUCUUUCUUUUCUUCAUCGUCUUCCAUUACAAGGACCUAAUAAACUCUCAUCCAAACUAUUUGCAAGCUCAGAACCUCAUAAAAAUGGAUUGGUCUGAUCCGACUUUGAAUCUUUGGCCAAUUGUACAGAUAAUUGAAUAGAAAGGAAAAGAAAAUUCGAAGAACAGAGAAAUUUUCAGAGAGAAAGAGAGAAUCGGAGAAGACGAAAGAGGAGGCGAUUUGGGCGCGAGAUAGAAGGUGGAUUUGGCCAGUAAUAGG